rnacentral:rRNA from 1 species
UACAGAGGUCCCAAGCGUUGUUCGGAUUCAUUGGGCGUAAAGGGUGCGUAGGUGGCGCUGUAAGUCGGGUGUGAAAUUUCGGAGCUUAACUCCGAAACUGCAUUCGAUACUGGCGUGCUUGAGGACUGGAGAGGAGACUGGAAUUACGGUGUAGCAGUGAAAUGCGUAGAUAUCGUAAGGAAGACCAGUGGCGAAGGCGGGUCUCUGGACAGUUCCUGACACUGAGGCACGAAGGCCAGGGGAGCAAACGGG